rnacentral:rRNA from 1 species
UGAAAUCUCGGGGCUCAACCUCGAAACUGCGUCUGAAACUGCAGGUCUAGAAUCUUGGAGGGGGAAGGGGAAUUUCGCAUGUAGGGGUAAAAUCCGUAGAUAUGCGAAGGAACACCAGGGGCGAAGGCGCCUUCCUGGACAAGUAUUGACGCUGAGGCGCGAAAGCGUGGGGAUCAAACAGGAUUAGAUACCCUGGUAGUCCACGCUGUAAACGAUGAAUACUAGGUAUUGGGGGAUUUGACCCCUUCAGUGCCGUAGCUAACGCGUUAAG